AGAUAGAACAUGGCAACCAAGUGCAUCAUUGGCUCUGUUGUUGGAGCCUUUGCUUUGGCCUAUGCAUUCGACUCUGCUAUUUCUGAUCGAUCAAGUCCCAAAACUGUUGAGGGUGAAGUGUGGUGAGAAGAAACUGACAGGAAGGCCAAGGUGUGGCCCCGCACUGCAGGGCCUCCCGUUGCAUUGAACCCUAUCACUCGCCAGUAUUACACUAUCCUCAAGGCCCGUUCUGAAGCUUGAAGCCUCGUCAUCUUAUCGGGACACCAUUGCUAUGUCUAUUUUCAAAUAAAUGUUCAUGGGGGGUUUCCAAGUUGUGUUGGCCCACCCCUUUAUGAAAUCACAAUAUUCGGCCUGUUUGGUUUCCAUGAAAUCUCCUCACCAUGGACCACUGUCUUGCUAUGCCAUGUGCGUUGCAGUGGAGAAUCUUGACUUAUUGAGUACUUGGGUAUUCCAUAUUUUGUUUCUUUUU